UGCUUUUGCCGGGGACAGAACAGGAAUGGAGUCUUAGAACUUAUGAGGACCAGUGACAGAACUUGCGACCCCAGCCAAUGGCCUGGAGAAUGGAUACCCCAUCGACUGGUGACCUGGCGACCCGGAAGCCCAGCUCAGGAGUCACAGCCGGUUCUGGCCAGUGGGAGGACAAUGGGCUGUGGAGAGAGGACCCCGGUGACCUGACCAGGUGGUUUCAGCCAGAGGGGGCCAAAGCACAGAAGAGAGGAGAGGAGGCCCAGGUGACCCUGUUUACCUGGACAGAAGACAAUGGACGGAGGAGGGGCUUGGGACUGGUGAUAUCAGAUGCCCAGCUGGGAAGCAGAGGGGGUCGGGACUGGAGAGAGGGAGCAGGCAGAGUCCACCUCGAUGUAGGGGAGACUUAGAUGUGCUGUGCUGAGGGGGGCCAGGCCUGAGGGCCCUGAGAGUUCCCGAUGCUGUGUUCAGACGCUCAGUAAACCCUCCUGUUUUACGCUGGCUGAGAGUCACUCCAGUCUAGAGAACAGGGUUGUAUUAUUCCCUCUGGGAGUGGAGACCCCCGGGGUCCAGAGCAAGUGGACAUCCAGAGAGGGCCCACCCCGCAAGAAACAAGUGUGCU